CCCCUCUCAGGACAGCACCUGGAGAGUUGCCAGUACUCUACCAGUCUCAGUUAAGAGAGGGAGAGUCAAACAGAGACAUACCCAUUCUAUUCUUAGCUUAGGCAGUGGUUAGCAAGUGGAAGGCAAUCUGCUACAAGU